UACGUAGGGUGCAAGCGUUAUCCGGAAUUAUUGGGCGUAAAGAGCUCGUAGGCGGUUUGUCACGUCUGCUGUGAAAACUGGAGGCUCAACCUCCAGCCUGCAGUGGGUACGGGCAAACUCGAGGGAGGCAGAGGAAAGUGGAAUUCCCGGUGUAGUGGUGAUAUGCGUAGAUAUCGGGAGGAACACCUGUGGCGAAGGCGGCUUUCUGGGCCUUACCUGACGCUGAGACGCGAAAGCGUGGGGAGCGAACCGG
rnacentral:rRNA from 1 species